AUCAAUGAUGCAAUGUUGAGGGGCAGCACACUCUUGUGCAGGCCCCCCUGUUCAACACCUCACAGGGAGUUGUCAUAUACCUGCGACUGAGACUUUCCUUUAGUCUACAGGCUUCUGGGGACACUGUCUGUUCAAGAGUAAAGUGAUUUGUUUAUGGAAGAAAAGAAAAAAAGUCAGAUCUGUUCAUCAGAAAAGACAAAAAAGAAGAAUUAGCUUACCUGAUGGAGUAAGGGUGAUGAAUACAUCAGUCACUGAAAGGAGGUAGAGCGCUGCCCUUUCUCUUGCUGCCUACUGUUUCUAACCCAUCCCCCCGCCCCUGAAGCACAGUCCUCCCUGCUUUUUCUAUACCUUCAGAUUGAUUGUUGAAGGGAAAAGACAAAUGGAGUUUGUUCAACCAAUUACUUUAACUUUAUAUACAACUCAAACCCAUAGACGUUUGGAUGAGGAUCUCUCAAGGAUUUCCCCGUAGAAUGAAGAGCACAAGUUAACCUUUAACAACCAUCAGAAACUCUUGGGAGGAGUUAACAACAAAAACAAAAAGUCCUCAUGCUUGUCUCCUGCUCCCCAUUCUGGAGACGCCAUGCUAUGGGGAGCUCUCCGGAUAACUCUGCACCCUGCCAGAAAGCACUCUAUUAUGCUGUGAUUUUUUUGGGGGAGUUCUGGACAAGUGGACCUGUGUGACCCUGACCUAACUAAAAGAGAACAAAGAAAUAGACUGUACUGAAACCCUGGCUGAGGGUGCUGGGGAACUCUUCCCCUUUGGUGAGAUUCUCCCUGGAGUAUCAUCAACAUUUGUCCAGAUGCUGCUGGAGUCUGCGCCUGGAUACCAAGGAUCUUUUCCUUCCCAUUGCUUCCAAGCUGCUGAGCCAUGAUUUCUUCCUUGUCUCUCCAGUUGGCAGCACAUCUCUUUACAGUAGAUUGCUCUUCAGUUCACAGGUUUGUAUAUUCCUG
rnacentral:lncRNA from 1 species